UACGUAGGUGACAAGCGUUGUCCGGAUUUACUGGGUGUAAAGGGUGCGCAGGUGGCAGGGCAAGUCAGAUGUGAAAGCCCGGGGCUCAACCCCGGUAUUGCAUUUGAAACUGUCCGGCUAGAGUGCAGGAGAGGUAAGCGGAAUUCCUAGUGUAGCGGUGAAAUGCGUAGAUAUUAGGAGGAACACCAGUGGCGAAGGCGGCUUACUGGACUGUAACUGACGCUGAGGCGCGAAAGCGUGGGGAGCAA
rnacentral:rRNA from 1 species